CAAAAUGGGAGGUAAAUUUCUCCUAAGGCUAAAUAUUGGCGAGAGACCGAUAGCGAACAAGUACCGUGAGGGAAAGAUGAAAAGAACUUUGAAAAGAGAGUUAAACAGUACGUGAAAUUGUUGAAAGGGAAACGAUUGAAGUCAGUCAUACCAACGGAAAUCAACCUUUUGAGCUUGGUCUCGUGGGUUUUGAAGAGUUUCAAAGCCUUCGGAUUCGCGGGAUUGGGAUCUCUUGGUGUACUUUUUCGUACGGUUAGUCAACAUCGGUUUUGAAUGUCAUAAAAUGACUGGAGGAAUGUAGCUUCGAUCUCGUAUUGAAGUGUUAUAGCCUUUGGUAGAUGUGAUGUUUGAGACCGAGGAUUGCAACGGAUACCCUUCAGGGCUAUUCGUCUGAUCUCUGAUACGUUGCCUUGAUGUUGAAAGCUUGCUUAUGAUGUUAGGGUAUUACGGUCAAAAGGUUAGAACGAAUUACA
rnacentral:rRNA from 1 species